rnacentral:snRNA from 1 species
CUAUGCUAAGCUCUUUUAGAAUUUGUCUAGCAGGCCUUCUGGCGCUGGCUGGGAAGAUCCCUA